rnacentral:rRNA from 1 species
AUUGAACGCUGGCGGCAGGCCUAACACAUGCAAGUCGAACGAGUGGCGGACGGGUGAGUAAUGUCUGGGAAACUGCCCGAUGGAGGGGGAUAACUAUUGGAAACGAUAGCUAAUACCGCAUACUGUGAUAUGGACCUGCGUUGUAUUAGCUAGUCGGUGGGGUAACGGCUCACCUAGGCGACGAUCCCUAGCUGGUCUGAGAGGAUGACCAGCCACACUGGAACUGAGACACGGUCCAGACUCCUACGGGAGGCAGCAGUGGGGAAUAUUGCACAAUGGGCGAAAGCCUGAUGCAGCCAUGCCGCGUGUAUGAAGAAGGCCUUCGGGUUGUAAAGUACUUUCAGCGGGGAGGCGUUACUCGAAGAAGAAGCACCGGCUAACUCCGUGCCAGCAGCCGCGGUAAUAC